rnacentral:tRNA from 1 species
GACUCACUGGCCUAAUGGCAUAAGGCAUCAACCUCCAGAGCUGGGGAUUGUGGGUUCUAGUCCCAUUUGGGUCG